AAAAGGCGAUAAAGACAUACGAAGAGUCGCUAGAGUUGCAAAGGCGAUGUGAUGACGGCAAUCUAGAAGGAACGUCUGCGAUUCUCAUCAAUCUUGGUUACUGCUACAGAGAUAUCGGAAAACUUGAGAAAAGUUUGAGUUUAAUAGAGGAGGCAGUCGCAAUCAGCCGAUCAUGCUACUCAUCUUCUCACCCCUCCUUGGCACUUGCUAUAUCUCACCUUUCCGAUGCGUACGAUUUACUUGACAGAAAAGAUGAAGCUUGGAAAUUGGCAAGAGAAGCUUUGGAUAUUGCAAGAGUAUCAUUACCGUCAUCACAUUCUCAAUUGGCCGUGUGUGAGACAGUAGUCCAGAUUUUGUAUUUAUCG